UACGGGGGGGGCAAGCGUUGUUCGGAAUUACUGGGCGUAAAGGGCUCGUAGGCGGCCAACUAAGUCAGACGUGAAAUCCCUCGGCUUAACCGGGGAACUGCGUCUGAUACUGGAUGGCUGGAGGUUGGGAGAGGGAUGCGGAAUUCCAGGUGUAGCGGUGAAAUGCGUAGAUAUCUGGAGGAACACCGGUGGCGAAGGCGGCAUCCUGGACCAAUUCUGACGCUGAGGAGCGAAAGCUAGGGGAGCAAACGGG
rnacentral:rRNA from 1 species